AGUGAACGCUGGCGGUAGGCCUAACACAUGCAAGUCGAACGGCAGCACAGUAAGAGCUUGCUCUUACGGGUGGCGAGUGGCGGACGGGUGAGGAAUACAUCGGAAUCUACCUUUUCGUGGGGGAUAACGUAGGGAAACUUACGCUAAUACCGCAUACGACCUACGGGUGAAAGCAGGGGAUCUUCGGACCUUGCGCGAUUGAAUGAGCCGAUGUCGGAUUAGCUAGUUGGCGGGGUAAAGGCCCACCAAGGCGACGAUCCGUAGUUGGUCUGAGAGGAUGAUCAGCCACACUGGAACUGAGACACGGUCCAGACUCCUACGGGAGGCAGCAGUGGGGAAUAUUGGACAAUGGGCGCAAGCCUGAUCCAGCCAUACCGCGUGGGUGAAGAAGGCCUUCGGGUUGUAAAGCCCUUUUGUUGGGAAAGAAAAGCAGCAGGUUAAUACCCCGCUGUUCUGACGGUACCCAAAGAAUAAGCACCGGCUAACUUCGUG
rnacentral:rRNA from 1 species